AUAAAAAACCCACCCAUACUUUUUGUUCUCAAUAGUGCGUGGACCUAACACUUUGUUUUUGGACCUUUGUCAUGAAACAUGCUCGUUGAGAGCGCAUGGACCAGUGUCCUAAUGCUGGCUACUAUCAUGACCACGGUCCAUGUAACCAUUAAUUAUGGUGGAUGACUAAUGAGAUGGCAGGUGGUGGUGGGUGGCCGGUGAUUUUGCCCAAAAUUAGCACAC
rnacentral:lncRNA from 1 species